UGCUCUUCCUCUCUCUCUCUGUCUCUGAAAAAUAAAUAAAACAUUAAAAAAUUUUUUUUUAAUCCUACGCGGGCAGGACAGACCCAGAAGUGUAAAGGAGACAAGGGAAUAUAGCAAAGUUGGGUUACUCUAGACAGUAAGGCAUGGUUUUGGUUCAGUGUCUAGGCUGAGUAUGGGGUGGGCGAUUGGGGGUCUCACUCAGAAUGAGUGAUUUCUCUUCAGCCUGGUGCCUUCCUGACUGGCCUGCCUCUGCUGACACAGACAUGCUCAGACAUGUCUGAGUUAUCCAAUGAGUAUAGUCCAGAGUCAGGUAAGGAGACUGAUGUCCUAAGGUCUCCUCCUAUCAUGGUAAGAAGACCCUGUUUUUCCUGGGGUAGAAAUAAUCACAUUGCUGCCCUGAAUUGGGGGUCUUUGCUUGCAGACAAUGGACUGUUACAAGAAUGGGAUGGGGGACGGGCAGGCAGGAGAAGAGAGAGAAGGCAGGGUCGCUGGAAGACCAUCUCUAUUACUGAGGUGGCAUGGGGGUGGGGUGGGGGGAGGGUUGUUGAGAAAGAACAGAUUUCUCCAACAGCCUUUUCAGUGGAAACAGAAAGACCCAGAAUGUGGUGGUGACUUCACAGUGUUUGAUUGCCAUGGAAACUUGGGUAAUUUCUAAAGCAGCUUCAAAAGCUUCCAUCUCUAUGUCUCUUCUAGGAUGUUCUUACAGAGAUCCUGUCCCAUACCACAUGUCUUGACUUGGGCCUUGGAAAAUACACUCUCCCUAUCUAUAGAAGCCAUCAGAAGAUCAAGGAUGUCCAAGAUGUGGCUGUGAAAGAGGGGAGCCCAUUGCCACAUUAAUGAACCAUUAGAACCCGU